GUAAAUAUAGUUUAAAAAAAACAUUAGAUUGUGAAUCUAGUAACAGAAGCCUUCAUCUUCUUAUUUACC
rnacentral:tRNA from 1 species